GGGGAUUCUCGGGUGAUGCACCCCAGAAUCGGGCUCCCUCCUCUCUGGUUCUGGGUGCAUCACCCAAGAACCCCA
rfam:Myotis davidii contig318195, whole genome shotgun sequence.